rnacentral:rRNA from 1 species
GCUGAAUGUACCGGUUCUCGUUCGAUCACCGAAGUCCAAGCAUCAUCGGGUGCAGUCAGUACUUGGGAGGGUGACAACCUGGGAACACCGCGUGCCGUU